AGGACGAACGCUGGCGGCGUGCUUAACACAUGCAAGUCGAGCGAUGAAGUUUCUUCGGAAAUGGAUUAGCGGCGAACGGGUGAGGAACACGUGAAGAAUCUGCCCUCCACUUUGGGAUAACACCGGGAAACCGGUGCUAAUACCGAAUAUUGAAACAUAAGUGGCAUCACUGAGUUUUGAAAGAAUUUCGGUGGAGGAUGACUUCGCGGCCUAUCAGCUAGUUGGUGAGGUAAUGGCUCACCAAGGCAACGACGGGUAGCCGGCCUGAGAGGGCGACCGGCCACACUGGGACUGAGACACGGCCCAGACUCCUACGGGAGGCAGCAGUGGGGAAUAUUGGGCAAUGGAGGAAACUCUGACCCAGCGACGCCGCGUGCGGGAUGAAGGCCUUCGGGUUGUAAACCGCUUUCAGUAGGGAAGAAGCGAAAGUGACGGUACCUACAAAAGAAGCACCGGCUAACUAUGUG
rnacentral:rRNA from 1 species